rnacentral:lncRNA from 1 species
GAAGACCUAACUUUCUUUCAAAGAAAUCAAUGAAAGGAAUGUUUUGUUUUCUAAUUAAUUUCUAAAAAACAAAAAGUGUAAUCAAAAGUGUAUGCCGAAAGCAAUUACGAAAAAUGAUCAUGGUCUUUAGUGGUGCAUGGAAUCAAAGAUAUGGUCGACAUGAUGUUGAGGAAAGCAAGGAUUUUUUUUAGUAUUUUAUCAAGGGUGGCCUCAAUGUAAUUGCAUUUUAUAGGGCAAAGUGAAUAAAAUAUUCUUUUAGAAAAAUUCCACUUUAAUCUUUUAAGAAUUGUCUUAUUUUAGAAAAAUUCCACCAAAAUCUUUCAAUCUUUCAGAAGAAUUCCAUUAUAAUCUUUAAGUUUUUUUUUUUUAAGUUAUAGAAAUUUCUUGUUGAGAUAAGUAAAGAUUCGAAAGUAAAGGUUAAAGGCUAAUGGACUGUUUAAAUACACUUAUAAUCCCUUUUUUUUUUUUAAUUCGUCCGUGAAAAUUACAACAAAAGCAAUUUUUUUUUAUUGUACAUUCAUUAUUCAAUCCGCCAAUAUUUUUUUUAAUCCAUCUGUGAAAAUCACAACACAUGUAAAUUUUUUAUUGUACAUUUAUUAUUCAAUUCCAUUUUUCUCCAAAAAAAUUUAGUAUGCGCAUUUUUUCAAAUUUGUGGCAUGCACAUCAAGUAGAGCUCGAGUCCAAAACUUUGAGUCUUAGAAAGGCUUCCCUUAUAAUUGGAGCUAAAUCUAGCCUCUAACAUAGUAUGUGUCCUUUCUUCAAUUUGCAACUUUUUGUCAGACCAAAAAUCGAUUUAAUUUGUAAUGUUACUUAAAUCA